rnacentral:rRNA from 1 species
UACAGAGGUCCCAAGCGUUGUUCGGAUUCACUGGGUUUAAAGGGUGCGUAGGAGGGCAGGUAAGUCAGUGGUGAAAUCCCCCGAGCUUAACUUGGGAACUGCCGUUGAUACUAUCUGUCUUGAAUACCGUGGAGGUGAGCGGAAUAUGUCAUGUAGCGGUGAAAUGCUUAGAUAUGACAUAGAACACCAAUUGCGAAGGCAGCUCGCUACACGAAUAUUGACUCUGAGGCACGAAAGCGUGGGGAUCAAACAGG